AGAGUUUGAUCCUGGCUCAGAGUGAUCGCUGGCGGCGUGCUUAACACAUGCAAGUCGAGCGAAUUUCUGCAGCGUAUCGCAGAGGUUAGCGGCAGACGGGUGAGUAAUACUUGGGCAAUCUGCCCUUGAGUGGGAAACAACCUGCCGAAAGGCGGGCUAAUGUCCCAUAAGACCACAGGAUGGCAUCAUCCAGGGGUCAAAGCUCCGCAAGGGGCGCUUGAGGAGGAGCCCGAGUCCUAUCAUGGUAGUUGGUGAGGUAACGGCUCACCAAGCCUUUGACGGGUAGCCGGCCUGAAAGGGUGAUCGGCCACACUGGCACUGAGACACGGGCCAGACUCCUACGGGAGGCAGCAGUGGGGAAUUUUGGACAAUGGGGGCAACCCCUGAUCCCAGCGACGCCGCGUGGAGGACGAAGGUCUUCGGAUUGUAAACUCCUUUUGACGGGGAUGAAUGCCUGCGUGAAAAACGCAGGGUGACAGUACUCGUUGAAUAAGCCACGGCUAACUACGUGCCAGCAGCCGCGGUAAUACGUAGGUGGCAAGCGAUACUCGGAAUCACUAGGCGUAAAGCGCAGGUAGGCGGUUUGGUAAGUCUUUUGUGAAAGCUCCCGGCUCAACUGGGAGAGGUCAAGGGAAACUACCGGACUGGAGUAUGGUAGGGGAGACUGGAAUUCCUGGUGUAGCGGUGAAAUGCGUAGAUAUCAGGAGGAAUACCUAUGGCGAAAGCAGGUCUCUGGGCCAUUACUAACGCUGAGCUGCGAAAGCUAGGGGAGCAAACAGGAUUAGAUACCCUAGUAGUCC
rnacentral:rRNA from 1 species